rnacentral:lncRNA from 10 species
AAUAGAUGGUUAUACCAGAGUAUCAUUAACAUAUGUGGUACUUUUACCCACUCAAAUUGUUUGUGCCCUUCCCCUGUGAUAAACAAUUUUGCCAAGAACAUUCUUGCAGCUAGAUCUUUGUACACAUUGAUGAUCAUUUACUUCAGUUAAAUUCCUAUGUAAUCCCACUUUAAUAAUGGGAUAAACAGAACCAAAUUAGGAAGGGAAAUUUGCUGCAAAAGAAAAAAAGGUCAUAAUAAGCAAUUCUAGGCAAAACAGAACGCCUAGCCAGGCUUCCAGUUCUUGACUGUGGAUAAUUGAAGGGGCCCUUGCAGUUCUGCUGGGCACCCAUAGCCAGAGACCUAGGGACAGCCCCAGAGUGCUCACUCUGUGGUCCCCUUUGUCUGUGAUCUCAUCAUGGUGGGGGACUGGUUUCCCAGCUGUGUGACAAACUCCCUGACAGCAGGGACUGCAUUCCUACCCUUGCUCCGUGCCACAUAGAGAAAGGACAUUCUCGAUGUGCAGGCAGGGGUCUCACAAAUAUAAUACACACAAGGCUUUGGGGUUUUGGGUACCGACACAACUGGGGAGGCAGGUACCUAUGGCUUGGGAGAAAGCCAUAGUCUCUCAUGGGUAGACAUGUCUGUGCUGUUGGAGAGACAGUCUCCACCAACAGAAGCCUGUUCCCCAUGAAGAGGGUGGGGAUGUUUGUCCACUCCCCCCUGCAGCUGAUGGCUUUCCCAUCUUGUCAGGCAGGAAGGGACAGGGUGUGGGGAGGUUGUGAUACUGAUUUCCAACCGCCACCCAGUUCAAGAUCCUAAUCAGAGUCCUGUGAAGAGCAGCUGGUCAUUUUUUUUGUCUUCCGGUGGCUGGGGAUGGGGGGUGGGAGGGGACAAACUAUUCCAAAACACCGCCUAAGGAAGUCAGCACCCUGUGGUUUGGGGAUUAUAAGUGAGGAGGGAAUCACAGAUAGUUGAGCAAAUUACAGUACAUACAUAUGAAAUAAUAUUUAAAAUGAUGUGUACAGAGAUUUGAUCGAUACAGAAAAACAUCUGAGAUAAUAUUAAGCAAAAAAGCAAAAAUACAAAAUGGUAGGCCGAGUAUGAUCUCAGGUAGACAAACCUGCCUUUAAAAAAAAAAACAACCUAGAAGGAAAUGUUAACAGUGUUUGCUUCUGGAGUGGGGGAUUAUGGCUACUUCAAGUUUUUCUAUUUUUCUAUGAUAAGCUUUGUUAAUCAGGAAGAAAAAAACAACACUAGUUAAAAUUUAGGGAGAAAAAGGAACCAUGGAUGGGGCACCUGUGCCCUCUGUGAUCCAACAGCGUCAUCCCAAGGGAAGAAGAGUUCUGUGUGUGUUGUGAGUGGGCAGGGAGAGAAAGUACUGACUUCUGAUACAGCCCUAGAACUCGAGGGGCUGUGUUCUGGAGUAUUCCCGAGGG